AGCCCUAAGGUGUUAGUCACGUAAGAUUGCAAAUCUUAAGGUACAGAUUCGUUAUCUGCUGGGGCUU
rnacentral:tRNA from 1 species